CUGAAGUUAUUAUUUUUAUAUGUUGUUGGAUCAACCUCUCAGUGCUUCUGUACGUCAAAGUGUCCUUGACAAAGACACUAAACCCCAGUGUACUCAAACCAAAACUAUUCAAAAACAGCAAGGACUGUGACCAAAUCUGUUCACAUUUUAAAUUAGCUGUUGCACAAUUAUGAACAAGUGCAAUAGAGUUGAAAAUGUUAUGUUUAACAUAAAUUUACCAAAUUUCUCUCACUUAAAAUAAGCAUUGAUACUGUUUUUUUUUGUUGUUGUUUUUUUUUGUAAUUUUACUUCAUUGAGGUGAGGUAAUCAUUUUCCUCAAAAUAGCUAAAUUUACC